GUGAUGGCUUACCAAGCCGAUGACGGGUAGCUGGUCUGAGAGGAUGAUCAGCCAGACUGGGGCUGAGAGACGGCCCAGACUCCUACGGGGGGCAGCAGGGGGGAAUCUUGCACAAUGGGCGAAAGCCUGAUGCAGCGACGCCGCGUGAAGGAAGAAGGGUUUCGGCCUGUAAACUUCUUUUGAUGGGACGAUAAUGACGGUACCCAUCGAAUAAGCCCCGGCUAACUACGUGCCAGCAGCCGCGGUAAUACGUAGGGGGCGAGCGUUGUCCGGAUUUACUGGGCGUAAAGAGCGCGUAGGCGGCAUGUUAAGUUGGCUGUGAAAGUCCCUGGCUCAACUGGGGAAAGUCGGCCAAGACUGGCGAGCUUGAGAGCGGUAGAGAAAAGUGGAAUUCCGGGUGUAGUGGUGAAAUGCGUAGAUAUCCGGAGGAACACCGGUAGCGAAGGCGGCUUUCUGGGCCGUUUCUGACGCUGAGGCGCGAAAGCGUGGGUAGCGAACUGAAUUAGAUACUCAGGUAGUCCACGCCCUAAACGAUGGACGCUAGGUGUAGGGGGUAUCGACCCCUCCUGUGCCGAAGCUAACGCAUUAAGCGUCCCGCCUGGGGAGUACGGCCGCAAG
rnacentral:rRNA from 1 species